GGCUCAUUAGUUUAAUGGUAAAACGAUGCACUGUCUAUGCAUAGUCAGGGGUUCGAUUCCCCUAUGGGUCGCCA
rnacentral:tRNA from 1 species